GGAUGAAUCCUUGGAGAGACUCUUAAUGAGCACCGAAGGAGAAAGUCGAAGGGCGAAACUCUCAGGUAAAAGGACAGGGAAAAGGUA
rfam:Clostridium kluyveri DSM 555, complete genome.